AUUAGAUUGGUUUUCUUGUAAACCAUUUAACACAAUUUUACAAUUUUAUCUAGUCAUCUUAUAAGUAGAAUGGCAACCCACAACAAUAUCCUCCUCUUUACCUUUGUAGUUUUGUGCAUUGUUUCCAUGGUGGUUGCAGGAGUACUAGAUGAGACAUUACAUUGCUUUCAAGGAAUAUGCCCUAAUUUCAACUGUGCCAAAUUUUGCUCUGGUGCAAAAGGUUACCCUAGAGGUGGUUACUGUUUGGGGGACUCACAAUUGUGUUGUUGCAUUGGAGCUUGAGAGAUCUAUGAUUGAUAAUUGUAUUUUCUCAACAUCAUUCUGCAAUUUAGUAUUUAUGUUUUUUUUAUUAAAAUAAGAUGAUUAGAAAUCACUAUUCUAACCUCAUUUCAAUAAAAGAAUUCACUUGUGUUAA